ensembl:lncRNA
CAUAAAAUUCUGAACCGAAAGCACGGCUUCUCUAAUAAUUUCAGUUGGAUGAGAGUGUUGUUUUUGUUGAGUUUCACUUGAAGUGUCUAAUGAAGACAGCGUGGCUUUGAGGGGUUUCUUAGAAUCAACGGGAUGACGAAUAGCAUAUUCUUCUGCGAUUGACGUAUGGAGGUGUAGAGAAGGAGGCUGUGCAUGAGUCACUGGAGGGUCACCGUCAUCAUCACAAGAACUAUGAGUAAGCAGCGGACUCUGGAGGAAAGCCACGCAGAAGAGGAGCAGUAUGGAGCUAGUGUGAGGGCCCGACAUCCUGCAGGAGAGAAUGAAGCUGCCCCUUAUGACAGAGAGAUACACCGCCACUGAGCUCUGGACCACGGAUGGAG